rnacentral:hammerhead_ribozyme from 1 species
AUCCAGUUGACUAGUCCCAAAUAGGACGAAAUGUGUGUCAAACUGGAU